GAGAGGUGGAAAAUUUUGCUUCAAAACAGAAUUUCAGAUAACUUGUUGGUCUUGCAGCAACAAACAUCUGCGUACAUCAAGCUGAAAAUAUCAUAGUAAAGCAAAAUACGAACUUGAGGAUGUCGCAGACAGUGUUGCCAACUUGACAACUUUGUCGCUAAAUCUAGCGACUUUACAAUCAUCUAGGCGACAUUUUUUUGUAAACAGCUACUAGCGACAAAUCUAGAAACUUUUCCUGGUGAUCUUGGAGACUUUUUGUAUGUCUUGGAGAAUUUUUUGUGUCUAGGAGACUGAGGUGAAGGGAGCAGUGACAGGUGCAGCCGGUUAGCUAGUGCUGGUGCUGCUGCAGCGCGAGCAGAGCGGCCACGUCGAAAGCAUGAAUGCUAACUACAUCGACAACAAGCAGAGGAAAACGCUACAUUGGUGGUUUACCUGCGUCAAUGUUAUCAACAAAAGUACCACAGUUAAAUUAAACAUAUGCCUUUGCUAAACGAACAGCCACCACAUGUAAACCGCAGAAAAUCUGUGAAGAUCAAAACCAGCAAGAAUAUGUUAUCUAUAUGACUACAAAUGAUCUGUCGUACAAUACCUUGGAGAGACACAAUAACAACAAGGAUAAACGAACUGUACUGCACAAACACGAGCACCGAGUUGCAACUGCGGGCUGAAUGAGAAUUUAUAUUGCUUACUGGAGAACUCUGGACAUCUGUAACGAACGGAGGCGUGUUCUGGUGUGGAAUAGAGAAUGAGUGCGACAAUAAGAGGAUGGCGGGGGUACCUGUGACUGCUGUGCCAUUUUCGUCUGAAGCCUGGCGAAUGCUGCUGGCUCUGGGCAGGGUGCCCUUGGCCUCGUGCUUGAAGAUGGAAGAGGAGAGCUCCUCCAGGGUGCAGCCCAGCAGAGCUGAAGUGAUGAUUUAUUACCUUCUCGACAUCAUCUUCAUCCACGUCCAAUAAAGAUCCAUCACUCUCCAGGCGGAUUUUCACCUUCCCCUCCGGCAGACUGCCUGCUUCUGUCUUCAGGAGAGUUGCUGCAUGACAACAAUGGGAAUGUAUCUUUAUUGCUUUAUUUACUGGAAUGGAAGUUAUAUUUGUGAAAUAGGUUUCAUAAGAAAAACACUUGACUAACCCAUGGAAAAUCCAUUCUUGUG